AAAAAAAGCUACAAAUGCUUUUCUCUGCAAUAAACAACAUAUUUUAGUGAUCUCAUAAUUGAAGUUGUGGAUUCUUCCUCCUGGCAUUAACCACAUGUAAAAAUGUAUCUUUGUGAGGACAGUGAUUGCACAGCUGGAGCAUGGUUUUAAUGGAUUCCAGCUAUUUGAAUAUGUACCACGUAAGAUCAUACAGCGUUUAUGUGAAAAUCAAUGUAAAAUGUACCUAUCCUAGUACUGAGGAUAAUCUGAAGAGUGUUCAUCUCCACACAUGAUCUACUUGAAAAUGAACAGCUUCAAUUUCAAUAAUGAUUUGCUACACUAUAGUAUAUAAUAUAAUAGUAUAGAGCCUGGCUUUCUUACAGCGCUUUUCAUGAGCAACUCAGGGAUCUUUUAUUGUUUUCAGUUUCCUCAGACAGAACUUUUACUCUUUCUCAUUCAGUAAUUUCUAGAAAAGGAGGGAGUUCUUGGGGGAGGAGAGCAUCGCUAUCUGCAUGAAAUGAGGGGAUAUUAAGUCCUAAUGCAGUAGAUACCUUUCACAGUAUACCACCCUUUGUCGUAGGUCCCUCUGAUUAAUUGCAAAUGUAUUCAGGGGAGCAGAGCAGACAUUGUAGUGAGAGUCCAAAUGUGCUUGUACCAAAAAUGCCAGCCCUCCCACACUUGCUAGCAUUGGUGAAGCUGCAGGAGUAAGAAUGCUUAUGUGGGAGAUUUUUAGGAGGGAAAUGAACUGUGGAGAAAAUUUUAAAGCUGCAGCUUUUAAAAGAGCAGCCUGAAUGAGUGUGCCUGAACUGAGGCAAGCUGCAGAGCAGGGCAGUACACGAAGUGUGCUCUGCCUAGCAAUUGUUUUGCAAAUGCACAAAGUACAUUAUUAACUCACAGGCCAGUCUUUUGGGAAGAGGCUUGUGCACAUUUGGCAAUAACAUCAUGCUAAGAUUGUUUUCCACAAGUGUCUGAGAAUUUAAAAAAAGCAAACGAUUUGGAACCACUUGUGUGAUGCCUUGUGUCAUAUUGUUGCUCCCCAGACAAGGAUUCAGAUGCCAGUUCUCCGGGGGAAUUCAGGUAUGCUCCCCUAAAACCAUUGUGCUGUGUUUCAAGCGCCUUCUCUGACCAUGCAAUAUUGCCAGCCUCACAGACACAACCAACAUUGAAAGAGAAUUUGAAUACGAAGAGAAAGGUAGCAUUCUCAUAUAAUCAUUUGUGAUAAAGCUGUUUGGGAUAUAAAACUUAUUUUGUAGUCUCCAAACUGCAGAUUUUACAAAACUAGGAAAAAAAAAGAAAUCUAAAGCAUGAAUGAGAGAAUCUGCUUUACAUCUAACAGUCACGUUUUUAGGUGAAAACCCUCUGAAAGAAACACACUGUAUGUAUGUGGCAAUAUUUUCGGUUUCAUACUUGCUGUGAUUUAUUCUUUGCACUAAAUGCUAUAGUAAUUGGGUUUCAGAUGCAGCAGUGCUUACGUAUGAGCAAUGAAAAAGAAACUAACAGAGCGUUCACUUGCUUCACCCAUCUGCUGCCCUGGUAAAGCAGUGGGCCUUCUCCUAUUGCACUGAAAAGAAAGCCCCCACUUCUAGGGAGAUAAAUGAUAUUUACGCUGAAAUAUCUAUCAGUAUCCAAGUUAGAUCCCCAGUAAGUCACAACUAUGAAACUGUAAAACCAGUGAGAUGGAAAAGCAAUCCGAUAGCUCUUAAACUGCUCUUUCUUCCAGACGGUGCCCAGGACGCCAGCUGUUGCCCCGGUUGAAACAGUGGUUGGGAGUUUUGAAGCCUGAAUUCUUUUCUUAAAAGAAUUUCCUUAGACUGCUAAAAGCUGGUGUCAGAAACUCAGAUGAGCGGAUUUAAAAAUAGAUUUGACACAAUUAUGUCAUAACUGCAUCUUUAUUUGUAAAGAAAUGUUAAAUUACAUUUUACAAUCUGCAUGAGGAAUCUGCAAAUGCACCCACAGGCCUUCUCACUGUUGCACAUAGUACUUUUUUUUCCACCUUAUUAUAUCUCGAUUCCUCUUUUGGCAAUUAUUUUGCAUCAUGCUCAGCACACUUUUCCACACACCACUUGGAUUUUCAUUUGCUAAUGCAAAUGCAUCUUAAAAUAUCAUCUUCCCAAGUUAUUAGAUCCAGGGCUUGAUGACGCAUACUGGGCUUAGUUGAAGCAUCAGGGUAGCAAAGAAAGACCAAGACAUGAAGGAGCGCCAAGUAAAUAUUGACAUACUGAUUUUAUGACUAAGCUAUGAUUAUUUUUUAACUUGCCUAUGCUUUCAGAAAUGAAGGGAGAAAGUUUGAAAAGUAGAGUAAUAUUUUUAUAUGGUCAAGAAAUGACCAUGUACUAUGAUCAUAGAUCUUUCUACACAAGAAAUCAGUCAAAAAAAUAAAAAUAAAAAAAAUCAGAACAACAAAAAAGAAAUUAUCCUACAAUGGGACAGGUCUGGUAUGUUUAAAUGUCACAUCAGUACUUUCCAUGUCUGCAUAUGUAAUUUGAGAUUAAAUGUGAUAUGGAUAAAAUUAAAAACAUCAUAUUUUCUAACUAUUUACCAAGCAUUUAUGUGGUAAAAAAUUGUUUCCCUUUUAGCAGUUAGAUUGCUAGUAAUAAAUUUCUGUAUCCCUGCCAUGAUAAUGUUUGUCCUCAAAGAUGGUUGUAAUGCUGUAUCAUCCCCUAUAAGCUGCAGCAGUAUGAAUAGGGCUGAAUUUGGGCCUGCAGCAUGUAGUUAAUCACUCUGCCAUUAAGAGAGCUGAUACCUUCCUGCCCCCUCCUCUACCUCAGUGCCAGAAGGAAAAGGCAACUCGAAGUCAAACUUCUCAAUUGUAAUUCUGGAAAGACUUUCUAUGCAAGAAGUUGCCAUUUGCACAAUCAUCCUUUUCCUCUUUGAGCUGCCAACAGCCAGAAAGUACCAAGCCCUUCUCUCUGCCUUGCAGGGUGAGGAAUCUCAAACAUGGCUUUGGUUGCUGUGCCCUACUGUUUUAACCCAUUGAGGUAUUUUCUAAAGAUGGUCUUAUUUCCAUGUGCUUGGCUGGUGUUAUGGUGACCAUGAGUGCAUGUAUCAAGUUACUGGUAUGGGAGUAGCCCUGCCAGGAAACCAGAGGGCACGUUCAGUGCAAACUGUUUUUAGAAGCCUAAAUAGGCACAGCUCUAAGUUGGAUGCCUGCUGUGUUAAUAAAAGGACUCCACAUUACUUCUGUCCAACCCACCUCCUGAACAUGGCAGAACACAGCCUGUAUCUGUGGAAAGGAUUACUCCUGGACUGAUACCAGACUUGGCUAACUGGCCCUUACUGCAUCAUGUAAAUAGCAGUAUUCUUAAACUUGGCUUAGACAGUUGGAAUCUUGAGCUUGGGUUCUGCCAGAAUUCAGGGAGAGGACUUCUUAAAAACCUGAAAAGAGAGCAAAAUGAAACCUAACAAAAAUAUAUAUAUAUAAUAAAAAAAAUAAAAGACCCUCCUAACUUAGGAAAUUUUAAUUAACACAAUGUAAUCAACUUGUUCUGCAGGUUAAAGUAAAAAUGACGAGCAGAGGGAAAGCUUUCCCUACUUCCUAUCUUCGUGACAGUGAAAGAGAUCUAUUCUUUGCUUCCUGAAGGGAAGAAAGUGAUCUGCCACAGGAAAAUCAAGUUAGCAAGGUAUUCUACACAGAGCUUCUGUUUUCCACAUGAAACCUGGAUAUGAUACUAUGUUCAAGAUCGCACACUGCAAAUUUCCUACAAAGAGCUCUGGGAUGGAGGAAAUCCUAGUCAUGCCUUGCCUCAUUCCAUAUAGAUGCACUAAGGCUAAUUUCAAUUACUGUUGUAUUAUGUUGAAUAAUUAAGUCUAUGUAACGUCAUUAUGUAUGCAUGCAUUAUACUUAUGUUCUCCAAACAAAGGUGUGUCUGUUAGCAUAUGUACCAGACUGCACUUACACGGAAGACAAAUUGUAUUUAUUCUAUACUAAUUAACACUGCAGGCGGAAUAUCUCACUGUUUAAAAUAUCUCAAAUGUCCAUUUUUAGAAUCUAAAUACAUACAUACAGAUUCUUUUUGCUUUGACAAUUGUAUUUUAUCUCCUUUCAAUAAGUUUGUUCAAGUACUAUCUUGUGUACCUUCAGUCUGAAUGUCAUUAUUGUAUUUCUGUUUCUACUUAAAUCAAAUUAAUCAAUUGAAUUAAUCGGUUUCAAAAUGGAAAGCAAACAAUGCUGCUAAAUUUCCAGGGACUUAGGGGAGCAAAAUUUGACAGGAGUUGGGUCUACAGGUGCUGGUUUCAUUGGCAGUCUCCUUUAUUUAUAGUUUGGUUUUCCUUAGCUGCUUGUUUCAGAUUAACAUUACACAUUAAGGAUGAAGUGUGGCCACCAGUGAGAUUUUACUAUUGAGUGUAACUUGUUCAGAAAUAUUGCUUGAGAUACAUAGUCUUUGCCAUUCUAUUCUUACACUGGAACAUUUCUGCCUUAAAACAUACAUACAUAGAAGUGGCUAGGAACAAAAUCGCAAUGGUGUUUUUGUCUUUAAUAUUAAACCUUGUUGCUUUAAGGGACACCCUGAACAAAACGAGGCCAAAAACUUGACCUAUUUUAAAAGACACGGCAAUCUGUUCUUUUAAAAAAUCAUUCACACUUCAUUGAGUCCUUCUCUCUCUCUUACACCAUGAAAAAUAUCCUACAAUAUCAACAUUCAGAACUAUUCUAUCUCUGUACAUAGUUUUCUGAACACGUAUUGCAAGCUGAGGUCUCCAGUUUGACAAUUUAAUUUUUCUCCAUCACUGAUUUUGGAAAAGAAAUCAUCUUAAAAAUUAGCAAAUGCUUAAACUGAACUAAUUAGCUAAUUAAAAUAACUAUAUCAGAGCACUUUCUCUCUAGUGUUAACUGUGAUGAAUCCAUUUGGCAGCCAAAAGGUCUUAGAAUCCAUAAAAGAUUUUUGAUUCUAGAGGCUUCCAUGUUUUGAAUUUGAAAACUAGGAGCAGAGAGCCAUAUUUCUCAGUUAUUUUGUAGUUUGAAAUCUGGCUGUGAAACUCUGUUUACUUUGUGUUGGACUUCUGCCAGAGGAGGCCUGGUUUUAGCAGAUGGCUGUGGAGUGGAGGCCAGACGUUUCCUGCUGCAUCCUGAUCAGGCACCAAUAA